GACGAACGCUGGCGGCGUGCUUAACACAUGCAAGUCGAACGAAGUGGCGGACGGGUGAGUAACGCGUAAUCAACCUGCCCUUCAGAGGGGGACAACAGUUGGAAACGACUGCUAUUACCGCAUACUGAAGGAGGGGAUUGCGUCGGAUUAGCUAGUUGGAGGGGUAACGACUCACCAAGGCGAUGAUAGGUAGCGGGUCUGAGAGGAUGAUCAGCCACACUGGGACUGAGACACGGCCCAGACUCCUACGGGAGGCAGCAGUGGGGAAUUUUGGACAAUGGGCGCAAGCCUGAUCCAGCCAUGCCGCGUGUAUGAAGAAGGCCUUCGGGUUGUAAAGUACUUUUGUCAGGGAAGCGGUACCUGAAGAAUAAGCACCGGCUAACUACGUGCCAGCAGCCGCGGUAAUAC
rnacentral:rRNA from 1 species